AGGACGAACGCUGGCGGCGUGCUUAACACAUGCAAGUCGAGCGGAAAGGCCCUUCGGGGUACUCGAGCGGCGAACGGGUGAGUAACACGUGGGCAACCUGCCCCUAGCUCUGGGAUAACUCCGGGAAACCGGUGCUAAUACCGGAUACGACUUCCUCCGGCAUCUGAGGAAGUGGAAAGUUUUUCGGCUAGGGAUGGGCCCGCGGCCUAUCAGCUUGUUGGUGGGGUAACGCCCACCAAGGCGACGACGGGUAG
rnacentral:rRNA from 1 species